rnacentral:rRNA from 1 species
CAUAGCGACUAUCGUGGCAUAUCAAUAAGCGGAGGAAAAGAAACUAACAAGGAUUCCCCUAGUAACGGCGAGUGAAGCGGGAAGAGCUCAAAUUUGAAAUCUUCAAGGGUUUACCUUUACGAAUUGUAGUUUAAAGAAGUGUUUUCUGUUGGAGUUUUGGUAAAAGUUCUUUGGAAUAGGACAUCAUAGAGGGUGAGAAUCCCGUAUUUGACCAUUAUUUUCAGCUUUGUGAUACACUUUCAAAGAGUCGGAUUGUUUGGGAAUGCAGUCCAAAAUGGGUGGUAAAUUUCAUCUAAAGCUAAAUAUUGGCGAGAGACCGAUAGCGAACAAGUACCGUGAGGGAAAGAUGAAAAGAACUUUGAAAAGAGAGUUAAACAGUACGUGAAAUUGUCAAAAGGGAAGCGUUUGACACCAGUGUUGUUUAGUUGAAAAUCAAUUCAAUAAUUUUUGAUUUUGAGUAGUAUUGACUUCAUCAGCUUGCUGCUUUCUUUUCGGAAAUUAUUGAAUGCACUUUUCAGUUAACAAGUCAACAUCAAUUUCUUUUGUUGUAAAAGGGUAAGAGGAAGGUGGCUUACGCUUCGGCGUAAGUGUUUAUAGCCUUUUACCUCUGCAAUCGGAGAGAUUGAGGACAGCAGCGUAGACUCUUCGGGGUUAGAUACACUUGUGCUAAGCUAUAGCCUUGUAUAGACAACUUGUUGACUAUGCUCAGUCAUGUAGCUUACUCGCUUGUGCUAUUUUACCUACGCUUAGGAUGUUGAUAUGCAUGACUGAUAU